UGCGGCCCACACCGCUCUGCGCUGGCUGCGGGCGGGCAGGGGCGGCUCUCGGAAAGGAGCACCUGGCACCGUGGCAGCGGGAAGGGGCGAGUGUGGGCUGAGGGGGGGAGCCUCGGGGAGAGGGCUUUCCUCAGGGGGAUCCCGCCGGCUCGCUCCCCCACCUAGAAAGUUAAGUCAGGGCUUGACUGAGCCCUGGUGAGGGGAGAGCCAGCUCUCUGCUCCCUAGCUGGACCGUGGGCCAGCAAGGGACCAGCAUGUCUCCUUGGUUUGGAGGUGGGAAAGCCUGCGUAGAUGCAGGCUGGUGGAGGUCCUUUGAAAGCCUUCCCAAGGACAUGUAACAUGCAAUCAAGUUUCCUUUUCUCUAGAUCAGCCAGCACCUUUGCAGUCAGACAACGCUGCUUUGCCAGCCGAGGCUUGGGGUGAGCUCCUCUCUGCCUGUGCAGGUUUUGAAUGUUACCAUCACACCUGAUAUUUUUCCCCAAAUGAAGAAUCACUGUUUCUCUGUCUUCUGUGCAGAAAUUUCUGCUGGAAUGAAGAAAGAAAAGUUUGCAUAAGAGCUUGUCACAAAGACAAAUGAGUUUAAGAGCCUGUAAGCCAAGAUUUCCUUCCAGUGGACAUCAGGCUAUCUGAGACAAGAAGCUCAUACUAAGAAGAGAGCUAUAUAAUUUGAAGUUCACAAAGAUGGUGAUCAACAAGCCAGCAGAAUUAUAGAUGGAGCUGUUCUGUGGUGUUUGAAAUGUGUCCAUGCAUUUCCUGUAUAAUUGGAUCCUACCUCAUUAAGGGAAAAUUUUCUUGGAAAGAUGUGAUGCCAGUUCAAAUGUCGUUCCUCAGUGCCACAAAAUAAUGUGGCUGCUCCACAAGAAUAGAGGUCCUGCAGAGCAAGCAGUGUCAGGACUGUUUUGAGAGUGAGUGCACUGCUAAGAUGAGACUUCUGUCGAGAGAAAAACGGAGAGCAUAAUUUUUGCUUAAAGGCAAGAAUAUAUAAUGGCAUUUUCCCCCUUUAAUCUGAAACCUGGAGAGGAAAAACAACAGCAUUUUGAAAAAGAGAAUGGACAAAGAGGAGUGAGAAUAACUGGCAGUGGUGAGAUGUUUUCAUGACAAGGAUAAAUAGUAAGCUGAGGAAGACCACAGAAUGUGGCUUGGAGAUGCCUUGAAUAGGCUUUCUUCAAUGUGUUUAUUUCUUUAUUUCGCUUAAUUCCUUCAGAUUUAUACCUGUGUGUUUUGAUUUACUGGCAAAAAAAAAGACUGUAGAAGCCAAACCCUCGUUGUGCUCUAAACUCUUCUCACUACAUUGCUGUUUGGGGAAGAGUGUGUUGCCCUCACAUAAGUGUGUAGAACUGACUUGCAGUUACCUCUGUAUCCCUGACAAUUCCCUUGAGCACAGACAUAGUCUGUGAAAACUGUGGAUGUUUCCUGUGAUAAAACUUCAAAAUUCCACUUGGGGUCUAUGAAGCAAUAUUUAAUUUCAAGAAAUUGAAACACUUCAUUCAGAUUUGGACUCUUUUCAUUUUAUAUUAUUAUGAUAUGAAAAAUAGUGGAAACAGAAGAAUAUCACCAGGGGAAAGUAGUAUCAUUCUAUUUUCUGUGCUUCAAUAUACACCUUAAAUAAUUAUUGCAUGAGGGUUUUUUGUUUGUAGGGGGCAUAUAGGGGGUUUUUGGGUGUUUUAUUUGGGGAGGUGUUUGUUUCACAUUUCUAAUGGACUUUGCAGUGCAGACAUGUAUUUCUGUGUCUGGGGAUCUGUGAAAAAUGAUUCUCGAAAAAUUAAUUUUCAAACAAUCAUUGUUAUUUUA